rnacentral:rRNA from 1 species
GAUGGACGCUAGCGGCAGGCUUAAUACAUGCAAGUCGAGGGACAGCACAGGUAGCAAUACUGGGUGGUAACCGGCAAACGGGUGCGGAACACGUACACAACCUUCCUUUAAGUGGGGGAUAGCCCAGAGAAAUUUGGAUUAAUACCCCGUAAUAUAGUUGAAUGGCAUCAUUUGAUUAUUAUAGCUACGGCGCUUAAUGAUGGGUGUGCGGCUGAUUAGAUAGUUGGCGGGGUAACGGCCCACCAAGUCUACGAUCAGUAGCUGAUGUGAGAGCAAGAUCAGCCAAACGGGCACUGAGACACGGGCCCGACUCCUACGGGAAGCAGCAGUAAGGAAUAUUGGUCAAUGGACGCAAGUCUGAACCAGCCAUGCCGCGCGAAGGAUUAAGGUCCUCUGGAUUGUAAACUUCUUUUAUUUGGGACGAAAAAGGGCCUUUCUAGGUCAACUGACGGUACCAGAUGAAUAAGCACCGGCUAACUCCGUGCCAGCCGCCGCCGUAAUAC